AUUAUUCUAGUUUAUAUAGAACUAUCAAUUUGCAUUUGAUAAGAGGAACUUCCGAAUGA
rnacentral:tRNA from 1 species